GCUCUUGUAGUUCAGUUGGUUAGAGCACUCAUAUAGUAAAUGAAAGGUCUUGAGUUCAACUCUUCGUCGGAGCA
rnacentral:tRNA from 1 species